rnacentral:rRNA from 1 species
GGGGAAUAUUGCACAAUGGGCGAAAGCCUGAUGCAGCGACGCCGCGUGCGGGAUGACGGCCUUCGGGUUGUAAACCGCUUUCAGCUCUGACGAAGCUUUUGUGACGGUAGGAGCAGAAGAAGCACCGGCUAACUACGUGCCAGCAGCCGCGGUAAUACGUAGGGUGCGAGCGUUGUCCGGAAUUAUUGGGCGUAAAGAGCUUGUAGGCGGCUUGUCGCGUCUGCUGUGAAAACCCGGGGCUUAACCCCGGGCUUGCAGUGGGUACGGGCAGGCUAGAGUGUGGUAGGGGAGACUGGAAUUCCUGGUGUAGCGGUGGAAUGCGCAGAUAUCAGGAGGAACACCGAUGGCGAAGGCAGGUCUCUGGGCCAUUACUGACGCUGAGAAGCGAAAGCGUGGGGAGCGAAC